rnacentral:rRNA from 1 species
UACAGAGGGUGCAAGCGUUGUUCGGAAUUAUUGGGCGUAAAGGGCGCGUAGGCGGUUCGGCAAGUCUCUAGUGAAAUCUCUGGGCUCAACUCAGAGUCUGCUGGGGAAACUGCCGGGCUUGAGUGUGGGAGAGGAGAGUGGAAUUCCCGGUGUAGCGGUGAAAUGCGUAGAUAUCUGGAGGAACACCGGUGGCGAAGGCGGCAUCCUGGACCGGCAUU